UAGCUGUUUAUACUGAAGUUUGGUAAAAUGUCCUAAACUGACAUUUCAAAAAUGCGAUGAGGUUUCUUAUCCCAACCCAAAUUAUUGUUACACAGGAUAGCCAUAACUGCUGUCAUAUUUCAACAGAGGAGGGGCCUGCUGCCCGCUGUCUGUGUAGAUGCUGCUGUGGCCUGAUUCUGUCCUCUUGGGCUGGCCCUUUCUUACUGAGCUGUAGACCACCCCCGGGUGGGAGCGGUAGCCUAGGACCGAGCGGAAGCUGGAGUUCCUGCUGGCGGGGCGACUCUCUGGGGCUGGGGCAUCCUCCCUGGUGGGCAGGGGUAGUGCCAGGCCACAGAGGAGAAGCACAGAAAGCGACGCUUGUGGCAGCAGCAGACCAGAAGCCAGAUGAGAAGCAGGAGGAGGAGCAACAGUAGCAGGCCACCAAUCACAGCACCCACUAUGGUCCCUGCCUUGUUGGAAGCUAAAAAGGUCCUGAUAUUCAGACAGGUUCCAAGGAAUAGGUCCACACAUAUGCACCGUUCUCACUUUCUUUCUCCCAAUUAACAGGCUUAAAGAUAUUUGUGGUUUUAAACUUACGGUUGUAUGCGUGCAGGGUGCAUUUACACUGCACUUUGCCAACAGGAUUCGACACCACACAAAGAUAGUUUCCCAUGUAGCUCUCUGAGUGAUUUCUUAUCAUCAGCUCUCCAGUCUGAGAGUCUAAAAAAAACCCACAAAAGACAAUCACUGCCAGCUACAAGCCACACCUUACCACAGUAUAUCAACAUGUACAGUAGAUCUAUGGUUAUGUGUGCCAUGUCUUAUCUAGAGGCUUUAGUUCUUGGUUCCUACUUUGUGUUGCUGUGGGCGGGAUGGCCCCUCCACUCUCUCUGGUCCAGACAUAGUUGAUGGGGAUGGAUCCCACGGAGGACUGGCAUCGGAGGGUGACAUCGCUCCCCUUCUCCUCGCCACCUUCAACCCAGCACUUAGGCAUUGAUGGUGGAACUGGUGCAAGAGAAUAGAUGUAAAACAGUGUCUUUGGAAAUAUUUCCUUUGAUGUACCGUACCAGGGGCACAACUUUCACUGGGGACAUUGCAUUUUUAACCCCCCCCCCCUUCAGUUUUGCCAUUGGAAUGUGAUACAAAAGGAAGCAACGGUGUGCUUUAGGACCAUGAGGAAACCUCUGAGUGGUCGGGUAGGCUGUUUGGUGUGUUAAUAAUCUGACUGGACAGAAAAAUUUAUAUAAUUAUGUUCCCCCCGCUUCUAAACCCAAAGUUGCGCCCCUGUACUGUACAUAUGCAUUUUUGCAACCAAAUGUAAAAUGGGCCAAUGUGUAAACUUGUUGAUUUCUUCUAAGUGUAUUUCCACCAAAGGAAAUUUGGUAUAUUGAUAGGAACAAAGGAAAGAGGUGUGGCUGCUGGAUGGAAGUAUCAGAGAUAACAAGGUGUUAACAGGGUGUUAACAUUCCAUCUCGGUGAGAGAGCAAAUUAAAAAACGGCACACAGGACAGUGGAAUGAUGAAACUGGUAAAACAGAAACCAGUCUGGGAGGGGCAGCCUUCCUCACCCAUCACUACCAGAGUGACUUUUCGCAUGUCGACACCCGGCACUUUCUUGACUUUGCACUGGUAGGUGGCUGUGUCUGAGGCUUUCACUGCAGAGAUGGAGACGGAUGCGUCUCCCAGUGUGGGAGCUCCUGUGAAGUCCAUCCUGGUAGACAAGCUGGGGUCCCCAUAAUGCACUUUUUUGCCUCCUGAAUAAGAUAAGAUCUAAGAGAUAGAGUCAGUUCAAUGACAAAAACUACAAAAACAAGUAUUGAUAACACAUAUUCAGAACACGUUUUUCUUACUGAAACAGUGAGGAUAAGAUCUCCAAGACUAGUCUGACCUAAUAUAUAUGAGUGGAUGUUAAGACUAACAUAUUAAUUUGAUAAUGCAUGUUUCAUCUCCAAACCCUCCCCAUAAGUUAUCCAUAUCAAGGAUCCCCUCUGUCCCCUGCUCUGUAGUCUCACCAGCUGGUCUUUCUGGGUCAUGUCUGGACGGACGUUCAACCACUCAAUGUCCAGUUCUCCUAUGUCAGAGGGGUCAGGGAUGAAGGUGCACCCCAGCGUGACUGUCUCCCCCUGGGCUUUCUGAAUGGUCUGAGGCCCUGUGGAUGUUAUCUGAAUACCCUCUAUGACAUCUAAGGGUUCAGAGAAAAACACACAUUCAGGAUUGACACUUACAAAGAAUGUGGAGUCCCUCAGGCAGGGACAGACUAAAAUGACAACUUCUAAAUGGGGAAAAACUGCAUUAGCAGUUCACAGAAGUGUAAAUGCAUUUCUGAUAAAUUUGAUAUAUCCAACAUGUAGGACAGACACUGGCUAUUGAAUGCAGCAGAAACUGACGUUGUUAUGACCUGGGACACUGUCUGGGCUCCAACCCAACUGCUGUUUACAUUGAGCGAAAUAAACCUGUUGCGUAGGAAUGUACAGUCAAUGCCUGUUCCUGUCGCACAGGCACAUCUUACAUCCCCUGACAAAGAUAAAUGGACAGAAAAACCUUGAUAUGAAUUAAACUAAAAUGUGGUCUUGCGCAGUGUGGGCCAGAAGGGCCCAACAUAAUGGAUAGCAUGGGGAGACUAGGUUAGGAAACCCUGAUUUAUUUGACAACUCACCUGUGUUGAGAUAAACUGUUAGCACAAACAUCACAGCCAACUGUAGUCUUGAGCAUGUCAGGCACUUUCGCAUAGUGACCAUAUUGGUAAACCUGUAUGGCACAUCAAGAGAAAUAUGAUUACAAUUAUUAACUGAA